rnacentral:rRNA from 1 species
UGCGUAGGCGGCUUUCUAAGUCGGAUGUGAAAACUCUGGGCUCAACCCAGAGCCUGCAUCUGAAACUGGAGAGCUAGGGUUUUGGAGGGGAAAGCGGAAUUCCAGGUGUAGCGGUGAAAUGCGUAGAUAUCUGGAGGAACACCGGUGGCGAAGGCGGCUUUCUGGACAAAUACCGACGCUGAGGCACGAAAGCUAGGGGAGCAAACA